GUGGGGAAUAUUGGACAAUGGGCGCAAGCCUGAUCCAGCCAUGCCGCGUGAGUGAUGAAGGCCCUAGGGUUGUAAAGCUCUUUCACCGGUGAAGAUAAUGACGGUAACCGGAGAAGAAGCCCCGGCUAACUUCGUGCCAGCAGCCGCGGUAAUACGAAGGGGGCUAGCGUUGUUCGGAAUUACUGGGCGUAAAGCGCACGUAGGCGGACAUUUAAGUCAGGGGUGAAAUCCCAGAGCUCAACUCUGGAACUGCCUUUGAUACUGGGUGUCUUGAGUAUGGAAGAGGUAAGUGGAAUUCCGAGUGUAGAGGUGAAAUUCGUAGAUAAUCGGAAGAACACCAGUGGCGAAGGAGACUCACUGGCCCGUUACUGACGCUGAGGCGCGAAGGCGUGGGGAGCAAACAGGAUUAGAAACCCUGGUAGUCC
rnacentral:rRNA from 1 species